rnacentral:sRNA from 1 species
GCUGGGAGCAGAGGCGCACACCUGUAAUCCCAGCAACUCAGGAGGCUGAGGCAGGAGGAUCAAAAGUUCAAGGACAGUCUCAGCAACUCAGCAAGACCCUGUCUCAA